rnacentral:rRNA from 1 species
GAUGAACGCUAGCGGCAGGCCUAAUACAUGCAAGUCGAACGGUGUCUUCGGACAUAGUGGCGCACGGGUGCGUAACACGUAUGCAACCUACCUUACAUUGGGGGAUAGCCUUUCGAAAGGGAGAUUAAUACCGCAUAAGACAGUAGCUGGGCAUCCAGCAGCUGUUAAAGAUUUAUCGAUGUAAGAUGGUCAUGCGUCCAAUUAGUUAGUUGGCGAGGUACGGGCUCACCAAGACUUGGAUUGGUAGGGGAACUGAAAGGUCAAUCCACCACACGGGGCCAGCGAUACGGGCCAGACUCCUACGGGAGGCAGCAGAAGGGAAUAUUGGGCAAUGGACGCAAGUAUGACCCAGCCAUGCCGCGUGCAGGAUGAAGGCGUUAUGCGUUGUAAACUGCUUUUAUACAGGAAGAAACGACUCUUGCGAGAGGCAUUGACGGUACUGUAUGAAUAAGCACCGGCUAACUCAGUGCCAGCAGCCGCCGUAA